UGCGUAGGUGGUGAUUUAAGUCAGCGGUGAAAGUUUGUGGCUCAACCAUAAAAUUGCCGUUGAAACUGGGUUACUUGAGUGUGUUUGAGGUAGGCGGAAUGCGUGGUGUAGCGGUGAAAUGCAUAGAUAUCACGCAGAACUCCGAUUGCGAAGGCAGCUUACUAAACCAUAACUGACACUGAAGCACGAAAGCGUGGGGAUCAAACA
rnacentral:rRNA from 1 species